AACGAACGCUGGCGGCAGGCUUAACACAUGCAAGUCGAACGCCCCGCAAGGGGAGUGGCAGACGGGUGAGUAACGCGUGGGAAUCUACCUAGUUCUACGGAACAACACAGGGAAACUUGUGCUAAUACCGUAUACGCCCUACGGGGGAAAGAUUUAUCGGAAUUAGAUGAGCCCGCGUAAGAUUAGCUAGUUGGUGGGGUAAUGGCCUACCAAGGCGACGAUCUUUAGCUGGUCUGAGAGGAUGAUCAGCCACACUGGGACUGGGACACGGCCCAGACUCCUACGGGAGGCAGCAGUGGGGAAUAUUGGACAAUGGGCGAAAGCCUGAUCCAGCCAUGCCGCGUGAGUGAUGAAGGCCUUAGGGUCGUAAAGCUCUUUCAGUAGGGAAGAUAAUGACGGUACCUACAGAAGAAGCCCCGGCUAACUUCGUGCCAGCCGCCGCGGUAACAC
rnacentral:rRNA from 1 species